rnacentral:rRNA from 1 species
AGGACGAACGCUGGCGGCGUGCUUAACACAUGCAAGUCGAACGGAAAGGCCCUUUCGGGGGUACUCGAGUGGCGAACGGGUGAGUAACACGUGGGUGAUCUGCCCUGCACUUUGGGAUAAGCCUGGGAAACUGGGUCUAAUACCGAAUACACCUUGCUGGCUGCAUGGCCUGGUGGGGAAAGCUUUUGCGGUGUGGGAUGGGCCCGCGGCCUAUCAGCUUGUUGGUGGGUGAUGGCCUACCAAGGCGACGACGGGUAGCCGGCCUGAGAGGGUGUCCGGCCACACUGGGACUGAGAUACGGCCCAGACUCCUACGGGAGGCAGCAGUGGGGAAUUGUUCGCAAUGGGCGCAAGCCUGACGACGCAACGCCGCGUGGAGGAUGAAGGUCUUCGGAUUGUAAAGCCCUUUCGACGGGGACGAUGAUGACGGUACCCGUAGAAGAAGCCCCGGCUAACUUCGUGCCAGCAGCCGC